rnacentral:rRNA from 1 species
AUUGAACGCUGGCGGCAUGAUUUACACAUGCAAGUCGAACGGUAACAGGCCGCAAGGUGCUGACGAGUGGCGAACGGGUGCGUAAUGCAUCGGAACGUGCCCAGUCGUGGGGGAUAACUACUCGAAAGAGUAGCUAAUACCGCAUACGAUCUAUGGAUGAAAGCGGGGGACCGUAAGGCCUCGCGCGAUUGGAGCGGCCGAUGUCAGAUUAGGUAGUUGGUGGGGUAAAGGCUCACCAAGCCAACGAUCUGUAGCUGGUCUGAGAGGACGACCAGCCACACUGGGACUGAGACACGGCCCAGACUCCUACGGGAGGCAGCAGUGGGGAAUUUUGGACAAUGGGCGCAAGCCUGAUCCAGCAAUGCCGCGUGCAGGAAGAAGGCCUUCGGGUUGUAAACUGCUUUUGUACGGAACGAAACGGCUCUGGUUAAUACCCGGGGCUAAUGACGGUACCGUAAGAAUAAGCACCGGCUAACUACGUG